rnacentral:rRNA from 1 species
UACGUAGGGUGCGAGCGUUAAUCGGAAUUACUGGGCGUAAAGCGUGCGUAGGCGGUUGGCAAAGUCAGCUGUGAAAGCCCCGGGCUUAACCUGGGAAUGGCGGUUGAAACUAGGCGACUUGAAUCUGGCAGAGGGGGGUGGAAUUCCACGUGUAGCAGUGAAAUGCGUAGAGAUGUGGAGGAACACCGAUGGCGAAGGCAGCCCCCUGGGCUGAGAUUGACGCUCAGGCACGAAAGCGUGGGGAGCAAACAGG